rnacentral:rRNA from 1 species
AGUGAACGCUGGCGGUAGGCCUAACACAUGCAAGUCGAACGGCAGCACAGUAAGAGCUUGCUCUUACGGGUGGCGAGUGGCGGACGGGUGAGGAAUACAUCGGAAUCUACUUUUUCGUGGAGGAUAACGUAGGGAAACUUACGCUAAUACCGCAUACGACCUACGGGUGAAAGCAGGGGAUCUUCGGACCUUGCGCGAUUGAAUGAGCCGAUGUCGGAUUAGCUAGUUGGCGGGGUAAAGACCCACCAAGGCGACGAUCCGUAGCUGGUCUGAGAGGAUGAUCAGCCACACUGGAACUGAGACACGGUCCAGACUCCUACGGGAGGCAGCAGUGGGGAAUAUUGGACAAUGGGCGCAAGCCUGAUCCAGCCAUACCGCGUGGGUGAAGAAGGCCUUCGGGUUGUAAAGCCCUUUUGUUGGGAAAGAAAAGCAGCAGGUUAAUACCCCGCUGUUCUGACGGUACCCAAAGAAUAAGCACCGGCUAACUUCGUG